rnacentral:rRNA from 1 species
CAGUAGCCGCGGGAAUACCAGCAGCCCAAGUGGUGGUCGCGAUUAUUGGGCCUAAAGCGCUCGUAGCCGGGCCGGUAAGUCCCUUGUGAAAUCGGACGGCCUAACCGUUCGGCGUGCAAGGGAUACUGUCGGUCUUGAGGCCGGGAGACGUCCGAGGUACUCCGGGGGUAGCGGUGAAAUGUUCUGAUCCUCGGGGGACCACCGGUGGCGAAGGCGUUCGACGAGAACGGGCCUGACGGUGAGGGGCGAAGGCUAGGGGAGCAAACGGGAUUAGAUACCCCCGUAGUCCCUGUCUCUUAUU